AUUGAACGCUGGCGGCAGGCCUAACACAUGCAAGUCGAACGAGUGGCGGACGGGUGAGUAAUGUCUGGGAACCUGCCUGAUGGAGGGGGAUAACUACUGGAAACGGUAGCUAAUACCUCAUACCAUCGGAUGUUCCCAGAUGGGAUUAGCUAGGAGGUGGGGUAAAGGCUCACCUAGGCGACGAUCCCUAGCUGGUCUGACAGGAUGACCGGCCACACUGGAACUGAGACACGGUCCAGACUCCUACGGGAGGAGGCAGUGGGGAAGAUGGCACAAGGGGCGCAAGCCUGAUGCAGCCAGGCGGGGUGGAUGAAGAAGGCCUGCGGGUUGUAAAGUACUUUCAGCGGGGAGGCGGUACCCGCAGAAGAAGCACCGGCUAACUCCGUGCCAGCAGCCGCGGUAAUAC
rnacentral:rRNA from 1 species